AUGUGCAAAGUACAGCCAAGAAUAUGGCCACUGUGUCGAACCAACGAGAUUGGAACCAUCAGCUCUCAGCUAAUGUGUAAAUUAAACGUGACAACUCUACGCCAGGUUCUAGUAGAACAGUACCUGAUAGAAAUUGCCAAGAACUAUAACAUGCCAUGUAAAUCCAAAGCAACCAUUAUGAGUGACUCCUAUAAGAAGAAUGAUUGGCUUCCUUCACUGGUUCCUAGUCCAGGACUCAACCAUCCAACUUCUCCAAAGCCAGAAUCAAGAUCCAAGGUUGGUUUUGAUAACUUUAUGCUGCCUGAUUUUCCCAAUGUAAAACCUCAAGCAAACCUAUCCAUUGACCCCUAUGGUUCUGAGGAUGUUGAUUUUGAAGAUCCUAUUGGGAGACUUGAAAUGCUGAAGAAAACACAUAAUUCCUUGGUCUUUGAUUGGGCAAUUAAUUGUCCGGGAAUCAGGGCUCUUCUGCACAAAUUUUAAUAUGGCUACCGAUGUGUGGGUCUGAAGUUUUCUCAUUUACAAUCUCUUCCAUCUCUUAAAGUCUAUGGUUCUCUGUAAUAAUGUGUGUGUAUGUGUGUGUGUGUGUGUGUGUCUGCUUGUCUGUGUAUACACAUAUAGUUAUUCAUGUCUCUUAAAAUUCUAUAAAUUUUAGAUGAAGAUUCCUGACCUAAAGAAUUUUAUUAAUUAUAGCCAAUAAACUCUUGAUUUCUCCUGGAUCCUUAUUUCUC
rnacentral:lncRNA from 1 species